UCUUCUAUAGAUUAUUUUGUAAAAUCGUUAGUUUGUGGUACUGGAGAAUUCAUAUGAAUGGAAGAG
rnacentral:tRNA from 1 species